AUUGGCAGCAUCCCUUCUAGCAGCUUCCAGUUAUGGAAACAGCCCAAGUACCCAUCAGUAGAUGAGUGGAUAAAAAAGAUGUGGCACAUUUACCCAAUGGAAUAAUUUUACACAAUGGAAAAUUUUUCUGGCAUCGUUUCUCAAAUAUCAUCUGUUCAGCUUCAUUUUUAAGGGCCAGACCAAGUGAUUUUGCUGGCCUAAUAUGGCCCACUUGGCCGGAAGGAGGAGGUGCCACGGGUGUACCUGUUGACGUGCAGCAACCACUGCACCUGAAGUGACUUCGUCACUCCUGGACUCUGAUGCUUGAGGACUCUUUAUGCUGAUGAAAAUGCAACCAUCCUGGACCUUGAAAGAUCAAGCAUUCUGGCAGGAGCAACCGAAAAUGUACAGAGAAAUGAGUUUCCCAGCCAGUGUGGAGCAGAGGGCAAGGUGAAAUGGGGUGAGUACAGAGAUCACAAGGUUUGGAAGCUGAGCUCACAAUCAGCACAGCUACCAACCUGCUGUGAGGAUUUGGGCAAAUCAGGGUUCUUUCUAUUCCAAAGU